AGAGACGCCGCUGCAAACUCCAGAUCCUCAGGACACGACUCCAACAAAUGGUGAGAACACAGUCCAACUCUUCUCUGCAUCAUCCCUGUUUGGGGUUUUGUGCAUUUGUGGUGACCUUCUUGUCUUUUCUACAUCAGCAGCUCGAUCCAGGGUCCCUGUGGUCAUCGCUGUCGUCACCUUAUUAUUAGUUUUGGCUCUCGCUGGUUUUGCUGCAUAUUUCUCCAGACACAUUUUUCACCAGACACUAAAAAAGCAUCCAGAGGAUGAUGAGACAGAAAAACAACCACUACCAGUCUAGCUGCUUGCUCAAAGGAAUAAAUGGACUAGUUCUUCUAUACUGCUUUUCUACGCUGGUUUAGCAAAGAACACACUUUGAACUUUGACCCCAGCUGAAGACUCGAGCCUCGUCCAGUUUAUUUAUCGAGCUCAUUUUCACACAAAGAAAAUGUUGUAAAAGAAAUGAUCAUCAUCACUGUUCUGGACUGAAGUGAAUUAUUCCCAAACAGCAGGACUGGAAGGAUUUCACAGCAUUAAAGGAAAUUUCCAUGAACGUUUGUGACACAGCUCAGGUGGAAAGAUGGAAAUAAACCCUCAUCUGAAAACUGUGUGGGAGACACAGAAGUUACAAAAACAGGUUAUAAGCUGAUUACUUUACUGCACUGUGUUAAUGACCUGCUGUGAAUGAUGUUUAAUGCAGCUGUAAUUUAAACAGAGUCACUUAUUGUGAUGCUGAAAGUGUUUAUUUAUGAAAGCUAGUUUUAUAUGACAGCACUGUGAGCACCUUAUACAAGGUGAUUGAAACUUCAGAUAUUUAUUGGUCUUCAUUUUUAAAGCCACAGUUAAUUUAUUAAAUGUAAUUGAAACUUCCUGCUGGUCAGGACUUGAUGUUCAGACUGUUUCUAGUUAUUUAUUUAAAGAAGCAGUUUGAUCCUGAUGCAGAGCUCAAGCUUAACUUCCUCUUUUUGUCAUUUAAAGCUACAAACUUUGUGCAGACUGACAGAAAUCCUCCUGACUGUAGUUUCUGCUGCAGUUACGGAGCAAAAAUCAGAGGAUGUUUGUGUCCAACUCUUCUUUAUUCCUGCUCUGUAACAUGACAGAGCUCCUUUGGUUCACAGUUAAACAGAUGUGUUUUUUUAUUAUUAUAUUUUAUUUUUUUAUUACCUCAGAUAUUUAUUUAUAAGAAUAUUUAUAUUUAAGAAUUUUGGAUGGAUGUAUUUGUUACUGCAGUGAGUGUAAAGUUACAGUGAUAUAUGUGAAUGUGUGAAAUCGUCUGCAAAUAUGAGUGUGAAAGUAAAAAGUUCAAGCACGUUUA